rnacentral:lncRNA from 1 species
CUAAUUCAAAUAAAAAAUGUGAAACAAGGAAUACGAGAACUAGGCAGAAAUACCAUUUAGGGACUUGGGUUGAGACCAGGCAUCAUUUGGGGUGCCACACAGUUGGCAAGGGUCAGAGGUUCCCUGUGAACACCAGUGAUCAGGGACACUCAAAAAGUAAGUUGACAUGAACUUUCUGAAUCUUUUCUUAUAUUCCCUGGGAGAAAUUACAGUUGGCAACAAAUUCUUAGGAACAACCAAUGAAGACUUAACCCAUGUCUCCAGUUGUUUGUCCCAAGUAUACUGCCUGAGAUAAUCAAUGAUCCCACAUACAAGCUCCCGCCGCUCCGUAUCCACCCCAACAAGUAAAGAAUAAUCCAUUACAUUGUUUGACUGCAAAAGAGCACAACUCGGUCAACACCUCAUUCCAAAUUUGAGGAAUAUAACAUACAAAGGAAAUAUAUAGAUGAUAUAUGGGGUUGAGGGAGGAUUUGGGAUGUUGGGGUUGAUGGGGAGUACUGAAUACCAUAAGGGCAAAUUUUAUUCAAGAAAAGAAAGAAUGCAUCUAGUCCGAGCAAGGAAAAGUCCAGUAGAAAGAAAUUAAAGCUCACGUUGAGGAAAGUUGUGUCAUUCCAUACAGCCCGUUGCAAGAGACGCUUGGCUUGAUUACUAACAUAUAAUGGAGAGGAAUUCAUGUCAUUGACAAAGUUCUGAUCCAAAAGAACAUCUCCAGAACCCUCAGCAGCAGAAUUGAAUCGAGCAUGCAAGGCCCCUUUAAGAUCAUACUGGCGAGUAAUAUUUCUACCAAAGGUAAGAUUCUCCAUCACCAUAAGAUCAUGUCUCGUCUCUUUCCCUGUUUUAGGCUGUCUUACUAUUACCUGCAAAAUGUUUAAAUGUUCAAAAAAAAAGAGCAAAUAAUAAAGCAAUCGCAUAUUUUUUAAAAUGAAAAUGAGAGCAAACCUGAUAAAUCCCAAGAACUUUAGCAAGGCAAGUUUGGCUUCCCGACUCAAAUGAUUGGUUCAUGUACUUGAAAUAAUGUAAAGCAAACUUCUGAAAUGAUUCAUAUUCUGUGUUCUUGAUUUCUUUUAUAAUAAACCUAUCAUCAAGUGUUUUAGCAAAAAAGGACUUGCUCUUCCCUCCUUUGGCAUCCCAAUUUCUGCAUCGGCUAAGGGAAGCAAUAUAAUCAAGCUCUGAAGGGCAGCACCGCUCUCGAAGAUCACGGAACUGGUUAGCAUAUAAACAAAAUACCGAGUAUUUACCCUUCCCAAGUGAUUUUGAAACCCCUAGAGAAACCUCUAUGUUAUGCGCAUCAGGAGGAACUAGAGAAUCCAACAAGCUUAACCCAUCAAAACUGGAGAAGCGCGACAUUGGAAAACACUUUUCAACAUUUUAGCUUGGUUAAAAUCAAAAAUUUAAAAUUAAACGUUUGGUUCGAAAAGUUGUUUGUUUACUAUUUUUUUUUUAAAUUAAGGUUUGAGUUGAAAAGUGUUUUUAACUUCAAGGGUAAAUAACGGGUCAAAUAAUUUUUUUGAAAUAAAUUAUUUCUUUUAUGUUAAAAUAUGUCAUAAAUUCUCGCACUUUUCAUAAAUUUAGAACUAAUCUUUGCGCUUUUGAUUUUAAGAAUUUAGUCCUUUUAUUUUUUACAUUUUAAAUUUAGAUCCAAUUGUUGUAUAUUGUUAAAAUUAUGUUUAUUAUAACGCCAUUUUUUAAUUAAACGACUAUCAAUUGUGUAAUGCUCAAUUUUUGCCCGGGCCCGUAUAUAAAUAAAUAAAACUAAAUACCAAAUUCAAUUAAAACCAAAUUUUAAAAGUCCGAAUUACAUCAGCCCAAAUGCUAAACCCUAGCCCAAAUUCAGUGUGGCCCAAAACGAAGUUUUCAGAAGCAGAAACAACCAUCGGGCCCUCACUGUGCGCGUGUACCAGCGAUUGUCACUCUCCACGCACGUCGUGCAUGUCUCCUCCGGUGCCCUUGAAACAAACCACGAACAGCAAGUGAGAGAGAAUAAUAGGGAUAUAUGGCAAAAAUUAAAGGGGGAUUGUUUUUUCGGGAAUAUUGGGGUAUAAAAACCGAUUCAUAGGAAAAAAUUUUGGUACGGAUAUUGAAUCAAAAAAGGAGAGAAAGAAAUCAGUGUAAAACAAAAUAUAAGAAAAUAAAAAAUAUCAAUUGAUUGAAGGUGAUUUUCUUCAACAUUUUUCUUCCUUUGCAUUUUUCUUAUUGAAUACUUAUCCGUGUAUACAAGUUUCUGUUAAAAAAAGAGAGAAAAACCAUACCUUUGCGGGUGCUAUCAAAAUCCUUGUUUACUCCAUCUGAAUCGAACGAAAGUGAGGGGUUUUGAGGGGGGAAGUAACGGAGUUGGGGGUUUUGAAGUUGCGGCGGCAAAAAGGAGGGGCUUAGGGUGGGUUUGGAUGGGCGAUUGGGUGCGGUGCGGCGCGUUUAGCUUACUUUUUGUCUCACGCUACAAUAUCGCUAUAGUAUUUAAUCUCACCGCCACCGCUGUUUUUACACUAACCGCAGGUAAACGCACCGUCCAUCCAAACUUACCUUUAGUGUUUUCUGAAAUCUGUUAGGGUGAUUAGGGCUGAUGGUUUUAGGGUUUUGUUUUGGGCAAGCCUGUGUUAAUAGCUUUGAAACAGCGCCGUUUAAAGUGUACCCGAUUACCCGACCCGACGCAGCCAGGAUCCGCGUGUUUUCUGCUUUAAGGGGAUAUUUUCUCAAUCGGUCCCUCCGCUUUUGUGUCGUUUUCAAUGCUUUUUUUACAUAUUUUCAAUUUUGGCCACAUAAUUUUUCUUCUGUUUUAAUUUGGUCCCUCACGCUUCACUGGAACGACGUCGUUUGAUUAACGAGGGAAUAUUUCCCUUUUUGGUCCUCUUUAUUUCACGCGCAUUAUGUUUUGGUCCUUUUUGUGUUUUCCAUUUUUGAAUUCGGCCCCUAAACUCCGUUUCUUUAAAAUUUAAUCCUUAAUAUGUCAUUUUAGGUUUUUUUUAGUAUUUUAAUAUUAUUAAUACUGUCAUAUUGCAUCAUUAUUAUUGUAUUAUUAUUUAUUAUUAUUAUAGUAGUUAUUAUUAUUAUUACUAUUCUUAUUGCUAUUAAUGAUAUUAUUAUUAUUAUUUAUAUAUAUUAAUUUACUUAACUCUUUAUAUACAUUAUUUUAUUCCAUUAUGUACUAGUAUUUUAAAAUUUUUUUUAUAUUAUUGUCAUAUAUUAUUAUUUAAUCUUAUAAUGUAUAAUUUUAUAUUUUCAUAAUUAAUCCCAUGUUUUUAGUGGUUUUAUUUCAUGAUAUAUUCUAGAAAAAUUGGUUUAUAUAUGCUUCUAUGUUUCAAAGUUUUAUAAUGUUUUUUACACAAUGCCAUUAUAUAUAUAUAUACAUAAUUUAUAUCAAACUAUUUUCAUACUUGUAAGCUUACAUAGUAUUAUAUAUAUAUAUAUAUAUAUAUAUAUAUUAUAAUUUAUAUCGAGUUCCCACUCCAAAUGUAUUAUGUUCUUUUUAAAAAAAAAAAGUAAUAUAUGUACAUUAUGUAGUGAAUCUUAAUUUUCUUCUUAUAACAUUUAUUAAAAAAUGUAUUUAGAUACUAUUAUUUCAUGAAGUGUUUAUUUUUUACUUUAUUUCUGAUUUAUUGCAAACUUACAUAUAUGCAUACAUUGUUGUUUCAACAUAUAAUUUAUUAAUUAGGUUUCUCCUCUUGCUUUUUAGUGGAUCUUUAAAAAUUAAUUAAUAAUUUAUUUAAUUUUUGAAUGUGGUAUGACGUGAGAUGAUUGCUAUUAUUCAUAUUGUAUUGCUUGUUUAUAUUUAUAGAUUAUUUGUCACUCAUUAGUGUAUGUUUUAUUUGCGAUCGCUCCAUGUUGUAUAUUAUCAUUUAUCGCAUUUUAUUCGCUUAAAAGGCUAUGUUCGAUAUCAUUCAAGCAUCAAAGUCAUUUUAUCCAAAAGUUUUCAAAAAACGCCAUACUCGGUACUUGUGAUCUUCGAGGGGAUUGAGCCCUAACGUAUUAGGUUUCAAUUUUCCUCGUCGAAUCCAAAUAAUCAAGAAUAUUCUUUAAUCAGAAUGCAAAAAUAAAAGCUCAUCCUUGGGAAUUCUAUACGUUGUGUCCUAACGUAUUGGAUAUGACAUAUUGUUUUCUCGAGAUGAGGAUUUUUCUAAAAUAAUAAAGGCAAUAUUAAAUGUUUGGAAUUUUGAGAAAUUGUGCCCUAACAUAUUGGGCUUCGAUUUUUCAUCUGACUUAAACAAUUGAAUAUUUUUUUAAACUUCACUACAUGAGUUUUAAAAAUCAAAAGACGAGCUCAUUUUCGAGGAUGCGAAGCUCAUUGGAUGUGAUGUUUGAUCUCCCGAAACAAGAGGGUCUUAGCAUGCAUUUUGAUUUAGAUUUAUAUACGUUUUUUAAAGGAUCCUAUUUUAAAUCUUUUCGAGUUUUCGAUAUUCGACAUUAAGACAUUAAUCAAUCAAUUCGAUACCAAUUUUGAGCGUCACGAGGAUGCUAACUCUUUCUCGUGCGUAACUGACUCCCGAACCCGCUUUUCUCUGAAACUCGUAGACCAAAAUCUUUUUAAGGUGAUCCGAUCACACUGCAAUAAAAGAUCAGUGGCGACUCCCAUACUCGUUUUUAUUUUCAAAAUCCAAGUCAAUUUCGUUUUACAAAAAAAUGGUUUCGACAAAUUGAGUAUUUUUUUAUUUAAACAAAAGUAACAACUGAACUUGAAUUUUAAAAUCUGAAAAAAUAUAAGGACUAAAUUUCUUUAAAUAAAAAUACAGAAACUAAAUUAUAAAUCUAGGAAAAGUAAAAUGAUGACAUUUUUUAACCUGGCUUUCAUUUAUAUAUAAGGAAUUUCACCUUUAUUACAAAACAUAUGUUCCUAUAUUUCACAAAUUCAGUUUCCUUUUUAUUUUUCUAGAUAUAUACAACCUCAAAUCACAGUUUCAGUUGACCGUAAAUGGGCCAAUUAUAAAUCAGUCUUUCUGUGCUUUUACGUCUUUUUAAGGACCGUCGCUUUUUAAAUUUACGCUUCCAGUCCCUCAUGUUUUUCAAAAUUAGGUUCUUCCGUAUUUCACUUUUCAACCCAUUUAUUUGAAAGCAGAAAAUGCAUUAAUGUAUGUAAUUGUAGUUCCAACGUUAAUUUAUCAAUUAAGAAAAGGAAAAGGUUGCAUUGUGUUGAUUUUGGUUGAAAUUGGUAAAGAAAUUAAGAUUUCUUAAGGUUGCAAGUAAAUCCGUUGAUUCCUGUACAAUUGUAUUAUAAAUAUAUUUACACUUCCAGUCCCUUAUUUCUUUUUCUUUUGCAUGCUUCUAUCUACCAUGCUCACUAUUAUUCAUUUCUCCAUAAUUCUUAAACAAUUUACACCUAAAAAAGUAAGGAUACUAUUUUUCAAACGGGCAACACAUUUAAUUUUUUAAAAAUAAACUUCAAUUUAUCCUAGUAUUAUUUAUUUAAAUAUUUAUAUGAAUUAUAGUACAUAUUUUGAUCACAUACAUCACACGAAUAUGCACGCUAGUACAUUUUAAGAAAGUUUUUGUCGCUCUACAAAUUUCACUAGUAAUUGACUUACAAUAAUGCGAUAUAUAUGUUUUGAAGAAUAAUGUGAUAGUUAAAACUAGUUAAUUGUGAAUUACUAAUAAAAGUUUGGUGCUUAAUAGGUUUAAAUAAAAUAUUAUAGGUCCAAUUUUGUGAAUAAAACCGAUAAUCUAUCAUGAUUUCAAUAAUCAAUUCAUAUAUAAUUUAGACGUUCUAAAAUAAAAUUAAGAAUAUAUAACUUUUCACAACAGUGAUUUAAAUAUGAAAAGAUAGUCACAACUUAAAUUCUUAAUAAAUAUUUAUUCUAAAAUUAUGAAAUUAAAAUUUUAUUACUGUUACGUGCUAUUCAGUUGCACGUGUCAAUCCACUUUAUUCAAUGCUUGUAUUAGGUCUAGGUUCCAGGACAACGAGGCAUGGUAGAUGGCGGUGGGCGCAUGCUGGUUUCGGUGGUGGUUCCAUUCCUCACAAUCAAAACAGUGCUCAUUCCCCAGCUACUAUGCCUUUCGAAAUGGCAAUGCAUAUACCACACCCCUGAAAACGUUAUAUUAUAUAUAAAUAUCAAUUACUUCGGUAGUUAGAAAGAUGGACGACAAUGAGCUCUGUUUUUUCUAAUUGAAAAACUUACCGGGGUUGUUUGCAAAAAACCUGAGGGCAACCCAUCCUGCAGCAGGACUGUGGACAGUGUUAAUAAAUGGCGGAUCAACCAGGUUAUAUGUGCUUGGGUCCGUCUCAUUGUUGAAAUUUCCGGUGCCAAUUCCCACCCAAUAGAAGCUGAAACCGUGCAAAUGAAUUGGGUGACUUCCACCAGCCCCCAACCGGGUCGUUUGCAGCACCAUCUCCACUGCAUCCCCAUAAUUUACCAUAAUAGCCCUCGUCCCUUCCCCAGCUUCAGUAUUGAAAUCAGUCAAGUUCCCAGUGAAAUCAUAAAAUAUUGGUGGAUUAAACGGAAAAUCUUGGGUGAAAACGCCAGUGAUGUUCCUGCAAUGUUACCAAAACUUUAAGAAUUAGCUACAGUAAUCAAAUUAUUUUUUCUUUUCUUUUCUAGCGGUACUAGGAUUGCUAUAUAUAUACACACACACACACCCGUAGUAUGCUUGGAGAAUGUCAAUACGUGGGGAAACAAAGCUGACAUUGUUCAGACUUGCAGCGAAUCUGCUAUCUGAAACACAUUCUGAUGUGUUGCAUGGCAAGGUGUUUGAGGCGAUUGUAAUGUACACUCGUCUGUUGAUAUCUGUAUCCGCCGGUACAUUUAUGGUCGGGUUUUGGGAGACAUUGGUGUACCGAAUUUGGCUGAUGAAGUUAAGCGUAGCAUCUGUAUCGUUCAUUGCGGGCAGCGAUAUCAAGGAAGCAUUCAGUCCACCCUCGCUGUUUCUAUAUUGAAAAAUGCCAGUAGUGAUGUUGUCAACAGGUGCAGCAGAGGAAUCAGAGAAAGGCCUAAUAGCCAUGUAAUAUUGGCCGACGUUUUGAUCGGCAAUGACCAAAACAUCCAUGGUUUGGCCAGGGCUUAUCAUUAUAUAGUCGGUGGUGAACAUUCGAACGUAGGAGGCAUCUUGUGCGACGACAAUGAGGGUGUGGUUUGUGAUGGUGAAGAAUAGCUCUUCGUUCAUUGCAGCAUUGAUUAUGCGGAGAAGGUAUAUAUUCUCAGAAUCAACUUCCAUGAGGAAUUUUGUAUCCGCAACACCCAAUUAUAGACUCUUAGUGUAAGUAAGGGAUUCCUAGGGAUAGAAACUCGAUUCCGGUUUCUGUAAUGUUGAGAACGUACCAUUGGGGCAUCCAUAUGUGUCUCCUAAAUGUCCAUUGAUAGCGUAAGCAUCUGCUUCGCGAGGACCAACACCAGCUGCGAGUGCAUCAUCGAUAAUUUGCUUGUAAUCCCCAUUGUACCACGAUUCUGUAUAUACAGACAAGAAUCAAACUAAGAUUCAUAUCAUUAUACACAAGUAACACAACCGAAAAAUCAAAAGACAUACUUACGAAGUAUGAUUGUUUGAUCGGCGUCUGGAGUGGGGAAAGGAUAAGUUUCGUUCUCAGCUGGUAAAAUGAUGAAAGCUCCAUGGACAGAACCGCGAGUCCAGUCACUGUGUGCAUUCCACCACAGGGUUCCUAUUUCAUCCGAUAAUAUGAUUUCAUGGGUGAAGUUGGUCCCUGGUUGAAUCGGGCACUGCGUUAUGAACUCAGGACCGUCGGACCAUGGAUUCCUUGGUUGUUUCACGCCGUGCCUGCAACAUGUUUAAUUUAUCUUAAUCACUAAUGAAUUCAAUUCUUAGGGAAAUUAUCAUUGGAAGAAUGAAAGAAAGGUUAUAGUUACCAGUGAAUGGUGAAGCCAUAGUUUCCUUGAUUGUAGACAUUAACGAAGACUGUGUCACCUUUGUGAACCCGAAUCUCAGGCCCCGGGUAACUGUCGUUUACGACCAGCAAUGUCGUUGUGUUGCACUGUUUCGUAAAGUUUGACUCUCGCACCUGCAAUAAAAAAAUUAUGGUUUCACUUAUUAUAUAUUAAUCAACAAAAACUAUAUAAGAAAAAGGUAAUCAUUUCGCUGUCCAAGCAACCGUGAUGAUUUUGUUGUCUUCACUCUCAUACGCUUAGCCAUCAUGUUUUUAGGAGUCAUAUUUUAAUAAGAAGUCUAAGAUUAAUAGACGAAAUCACUGUGACAUGUAAGAAUAUAUAAGAAAAGGGAACUCACAAAGAACUCAUAGUGAUGUACAUCAGCACUGCAAAGCAGCAAAGUGCUUAGAAAUAGAACCCCUACAAACCAUGAGGCCAUAUCUCGCUGUAAACCCUUUUUUUUUUCUCUCUCUCUCUCUCUACCGUGUUCUUAGUUCUCCCCUGAAUUUUAUCAUCUUUGGGCCAUAAAAUUCAACCAUUUAUAGGAAAGGAAGCUCCUGCUCCUUUGGUUUCUUUCUUUGCAACUACAAUUUGUACACAUUGGCAUUGGGAAAAAACAAACGUUCCAGAAUAUAUAUUAAAAAAAUGGAAAAUGGAAAUUAUGUAUUACGUGUAUACAUUGACUCGAGGAAAAUAAAAUACCCUUGGGGGUUACCAAUAACAUCAAGCCACCUGUCCACUACAUUUUUUAAAACGGUUUUUCCAUUUAUUUCAAUUUUUUAUAUCUUAUGUUAAACAUUAUUUUAUAUUUUAAUUUUGCUUUUUACAGAAAUCCACUGCCAUGUAAUUCAAAAUUCAUAUUUAAUCCGAUUAUUUUAUUAAUUUUUAUUUUAAAAAUUUGUAUUUAAAUUAAGAUAUGGGUGUUUGCUAACUUGCUAAUAGUUUUGGUAUUUAUUUUUGAACCACUUAGGAAAAAAAUUUAAACAUAUUUUUUAUUAUUUAAUUAUAAAUGAUAUUUUUUUAAUACUAAUAUAUCAUGUUAUGUGUUGCAUGAAAUUUUAUGUGUUUAUUUUAAUUUAUUAAAUAAUAUAUUUUUAUAAUAUCAAAAAAUAAUUUUUAUUUAAAUGAGGAUUUGUUUUAAUUUUUUAAAAUAAUUUACAAAAUAAAAUACCAUUUUAAAAGUAAUAAAAAUAAAAAAUGAAAACAACUUAUAGUAAAAUAGUAAGUAAUUAAAUAAAAUAAUUUAAAUCAAGCAUAAAAUCAGUAUUGAACUAAAAAUUAAUUAAACAUUGAAUUAAUAGAUACAUCUAUUAAAAUAAUAAAUAUAUUUGAAACUAUAUAAGAAAGUACAUGAUAAUAAUAAAUUGAAAAAAUAAAAAGAAAAUAGUCACGCAUCACUUAUAUUAAAAGUUCAUGACAAAUAUCAACCCAUUUAAUAAUGAUUAUAAUAUAAUUUUUAAAAUUUGAAUUAAUAUUUAAAAUUUGAAUUUCCUUUCAAAUCAAACAAAUACAGGAUAGAUAAAAAAAACACUUUUACUAUCAACUUUCAAUGGUGGUACAAAAAGAUGCAUUUCUUAUUAUCAAAGUUGAUGAUUGCUUAUGUUUUGAAUACUCCUAGAUCGGAAGAGAACGAAAACGAAUCUGUUGUUGCAACCCAUAAAAGGUAAAAAUGGACAAUGUUGAUUACAUGUGCAUAGACCACAUAUUGAAUGAUUUAUCUUAUGGUUUGUUGAAAACCUCCUAGAACAAGACCACAAUCUAGGAGUUAUGGGACAAAUCUGAGCAAUAUACAUGAUCGAAGAUGCUACAAGUAAGAAAUUUCUUACUAGUCAUUUCAAUAAUUAUCACAUGAUUGAUGGUCGUUCUGUUAUGAAAUAAUUUCGUGAAAUUGAAAAAAUAUUGAAUUCAUUUAUGCAAUAUAACAUGACAAUAUAUGAAGUGGUUGUAUCCUCCAUUGUAGAUAAACUUUCUCCAUCUUGGAAAGACUUUAAAAGAAGUCUAAAACAUAAGAAAGAUGAUAUAUUUCUUGAGGCUUUAACAAAUCAUCUUCAAAUUGAAGAAAAAUAUAGAAAGCAAGAGCAAAACUCAGAACCCAGAUUCUGAAAAUAUCAAAGUACACGUUAUCGAGGAAUGACAGAUUAUUAAACCAUCAAAGAGAAAGUUCAAACAAACUGUUAGAGGGCCUAAUUUCAAGAAGCAAUAAAGAAGAUCGUGUUGCCAUUAUGGUAAGCUGAGACAUUUCAAGAAUGAAUGUCAAUUUUUAAAGAAGAAUAUUUCUUCUAAUGUUAACAAUACAGAGAAGUUUGUUUCCAUGAUUUUUGAAAUUGAUAUAAUAUAAGAUGAUAAUGCAUGGUGGAUUGAUAUUGGAGCAAUCAAACACAUGUCCAAGGAAAAAGGUUUGAUCUCAAAGUUCACAUAAUAUGAAUAUGACAAUGACUUGUACAUGAGAAAUUUUCCAACCACAACAAUCAAAGGCAAAUGAUCGAUUGAACUACGAUUCACUUUUGAAAAUGUUUUAACCUUUAAUAAUGUAUAUUAUGUGUCACAUGCAAAUUUUUAAAAAUAUAUUUUUUAUUAAAUUAUUUUUGAGCGUAAGUGAAAAAAAAUGUCUAGUUGAGUGAGCCAACCUUAUGAAUUAUGAUUUUAUUAAUAUAUAGUUUUGAGAUUUAUCCCUAAUACAUUUAAUGCGAACUAUUAGAAAUUAUUAAUAUGUUGGUUAAAUGUUGACAAAAAGAAUUAUUAAAGUUUGAAACUUCAAACUAUAUUUAGCUAUUUAUCAUUCAACCUAGCAUGUAAUGGUAUUCCACUAGUAAUUAUUAUCUUCUGCUUAGUUUUAGAGGUGGAGUUGACAUGGUAUAUGAAUUUCCUUAGUAGUUUGAGCUAAGAAAUCAUUAAACAAUGCGUGAAUCAUGUUAGAAUUUUAAAUAAUAUCUAAUAUAAAAUUAGAACUGUAAAUUAAGAUCUGUUAUGUCAAAUCAUUAAGAAUAAAUCAAUAACAGAAUUAGAUGCAGAAGCGUACUUGAAUCCAUCAAUUCUUUGAAAUUUUCUGGAUCAUAGGGUUUUGAUCUUCCAAAUAGCACACAAGAAAUUUAGAGAAUAUUUGCUCUCUCUUUCCUAAGGAUGGGAUAUUAAAAACGAUAUCUUGUGUAUAAUUUAAGGACCAUAACCCUAUUAUAUAACUUUGACACAUUAGCCCUAAUUCCUAAUUAGCCCAUCAUUAAUUAGAAAUUGAUUAGAACUGAAUCCAUACUUUAUUUAAUAAUUAAAGCCCAAUAAACCUUAACUAAAUUAGAUCACUUUUAAUUUGGGCUAACCUAUCAUGAUAAUAAAUAAUAACAUGUAAUUACCCUUAUUAUAUAUGUGAUGUCCAUAUUUUCUAACAAAUCAAAUGUGAGUAAUGUUUUUCUCCUUAUACAUGAGAAAACGUAAAAUGACCAAAUGCAACUAAUGUACAAAAUUUCACCAAAUAAAGCAAAAUGCACGAGGUAACUAUAGCAAAGAAUCAUAAAACUGUAACACACGAAUAACAUGUUUUAGAAAAGCAAUACUAUCAGAUUAAUUAAUGCUUAUCGUAAAUGAAAAUACCAAGGAUUUUUAUACACGUCAAUAAGAUUAACUAACGCGGUAAUCACUAUUGUAAAUCGUUUUAAUUGCAUCUUUACAACACUACUGAUCUAACUACUCUAACAAUGAUCCCAUCUAUUUCAAAGUCAAAAUUAAGUUGGAGAUUAUCCAGCUGCCAUCUAGGCAUCUACGACUUUGUUUGCAACUCUGAAUAAAUUAUUUACGGGAAAAGACAUGAAAAAUAAUUAAAACAUUGCAUGCAUGCAUGCAGUUUAGUCUGUAUAGAAAAUGAUCCACGUUCGAAAUAUUUUAACUUCAUUUAAGUUACGUGUAUGAUGGUCUUAAAGACUAUAGGAAUGAGACAAUUUCCAGAAAAUAGGGCCAUGUAGGAGAAGACGUAAUGGCUCACAAUUUUUGACUCUACAUUUUGCUCAUAACUAUCCACACUCACUGUAUCUUUAUCUCUUGUAUUAUACACCAAGUUUUAUCUCGGUAUUGACUUUCGCAUGUUCCAAUUUUUUUUCCAUAGGCAAUGUUCAUUCAAUUGGGGUGCAAAUGAUUUACCUAAGGCCAAGGGGUCAUGACUCUAAACUAAAUGUAUAUGAAUUUCUUUUAACUUGUAAAUAAAUUUAUUUUGUUAUAAUUUUUUAAAAAUUAUUAAAAUAUAUUUUUAUAAUUAAAUUUGCAUUAAGCUGUGUCAAAUUUUAAAACAUAUAUAUAAUGGUGGUUUUAAUCAAGUUAAGGUUUUUUCUUUUUUUCAGACAAUUCAGUGUCCAAUAGUUAUAUAUAAGACUUUACUUAAUGCAUCCUUUCGUCACUAAGUCACUAAAGUAUAUAUACUGUUUUCCUAAUUUUUUUUUCCUAUUUUAAUCCUUUGGAAGUUAAAAUUAAUAAUUAAGAUAUUCAACCAAUUAUGUAUCAUAUUAUGACAUCAUAGUGACAUCAUCUCCAGAAAAUCUUUAAAAGAUCUUUUAAAAAUGAAAAUUAUUAAAAAUUACAAAAAAAAUUGAUAAAAGUAUACAAGUUUUUACUAAAAAUUACUAUUUUUUUAAACUAAAUUAUAAUUUUUAAUAUUUUUUACUAGAGCUUGAAUAUAAGAUCAUUAUCUUUUGAAAGGACAGCACGUAAGAAAAUUGUUUUAUAAUUCAAUCAAUCAAAAUGAUUUUUUAAGUGAUAAAUUUAGAUGAAUUUUUACAAUUUAUUAAAAUAAUGAAAAAUAAUAUUAUUUCAAUUCAAAUAAUAAUGCAAGUAUUCAAAUAUGCCAUCCUUCUCCCCAUGUCCACCAUUAUUAUCGAGUGUUUAAUACAAAAUAAAGACAGCAUUGACACAAUGAUGGAAGGAAGAAGUUUACGCUAGAAACAUCGGGAAAGUCUAAAAGUUAAUGUAAUUUAAAAUAAUAAAAUUUUGAUGUAAAAAGUGUUAAUUUUUAUUAAAAUAAUUUUAAAAUACAAUUUUUAUAAAAAAAUUGAUUGUAUUUUUAAUUAAAUACAACUUUUAUAUCAAAUUUUAAUAUUUUAAAUGUGAUUAGCCAAUCUUUAUUCUAAGAUGCAAUAAAUUUUCCCCCUUUUUUUUAGUUUUAAAACUUUUUACAAUUUCUAUAAAAAAACCCUAGAAGCCAAGAGUUCUAUCCCUAAUAUCCUAGCAAGAACAGUGGCUGCUGCGGCUUGGGAUGAUGGAAAGUGGUGGCAACGACGGGUUUGGGGGCGAUGAGAUCUCCCUGCUGGCAGAGGAAUUAAUUCAAUUAUCGGUUAAAACUUCGACGGUGGAACCAAGUGAGAAACCAACUCUAAUCUGUACUAUUUGGACAGAGAAAUCUUACAAUCCAGAUAGCUUCAAAGCGCAGAUGAGAAGUAUUUGAAAAAUAAAAAAAAGUUUGAAAUUCAAUUGGUAGGGCAAAACCUGUUUAUGAUUGUCUUUGAUUUAGAGGAAGAUUUAGAAACUAUUAUGGAAGGACAGCCAUGGUUGUUUAGGAAAAGUUUAGUCAUCUUUGAUCGACUGACUAAACCAAUGGAAAGAAAUCAGAUCAGAUUAGUUUCAUCCCCGUUUUGGAUCAAGAUUGGGCCAUGUUUACCAGAAUUUGAUAAAAAAGAUCUCUUGCAUGCCAUAGGGGUUACUUUCGGAGGUGUUCUCAGAUCUGAAGUUAAUGGUGAGUUUUGUCGCCUUAGAGUUAAUUUAAAAAUACAGAAACCCUUGCGUAGGGGUAUAUUUGUUUUACGAAGCAAUGGAAGUAGAUACUGGAUCCCUUUCAAAUACGAGAGAUUACCAAAAUUCUGCUUUACCAAAAUUCUGCUUUGGUUGUGGCAUAAUGGGGCAUGAUCUUUAAGAAUGCACAGUAGUGGAACCUGCAGAAAAAGACAGAAUUAGAGAAGACCCACAUUUUUCUUUAGCACUUAAAGUAGAAUUAAAUUUAAUUGGAAAGGAGUGUAUGAAAUUUAAUGCUAUAGGGAAAAAAUUACAAUCACAGAGCUCGUACACAGGAGGAGUCACAGCGAAUCAGAAAACGUGCUUGUUUGAUGGCAAAAAUAGUGGUCAGAUUCCAGUACUGCAAAAAGAGGUGUGGGCGACAAUAACAAGAACAGAGAUAAGGAAGCAGCUGGAAGGAGAACAAGAUAGGAAUAUUUCAGAAAAAGACAAAACCGACGAAGAAUUAUUACAGCCAAUCAAGAAAUCCAGCUGGAGGAGAGUUAAACCGUUAGAACCGAUGGAAUGUCAUGAAGUUGAGAGUAAAUUGCAGAAGAGGAAAUUGGCAGAUGUUGAUUAUGAUGAUUACAUCACAGAAGAAUCACGAGAUAAGGCAACAAAGAGGAAGAUAUGUGAAGGAAAGGAGUUGUUACAUGAGGUGGAAACAAAUAUGUCUGUUGUCAACCUCACCCAGAAUAGAUCGGCGGCUGCCAAAAGGCAAGCCGACCGGACGCAAUGAAAAUCAUUUGCUGGAAUGUCCGUGGAUUGGGGAGCCCACGGGCAAUAAGAAGGUUUUAGUUUUUAUUGAAACAGAAUAAUCCCCAAAUAGUUUUCAUCAUGGAGACUAAAGUUAGUGAAAGGCGAAUGGAGAGUAUUAGACGGAGGUGUGGUUUUCUGAAUGGUUUUGAUGUAGGAGCAGUAGGUUCGCGAGGAGGACUCUGUCUAGCAUGGAAAGAGCAGACCCAGGUUAGUCUUAAAACCUUUUCAAAUAAUCAUAUUGAUGUAUUGAUCAAAGAAGAUGAUGGUGGUACAGAAUGGAGAUUCACAGGGUUUUAUGGGUCACCUUAUAUACAUGAUAAAACUAGUUCAUGGGAUUUAUUAAGAACUCUGAGGCAGGAACAGAACUAUCCUUGGCUAGUUUGUGGAGAUUUUAACUAAAUAAUGUAUUCUUUUGAAAAAAAUAGAGGUCAGGAAAGGGAGGAAAAAAGGAUGGAAGCAUUCCGUGAUGUACUAGAAGAAUGCCAACUUAUUGAUGUAGGAUAUUCAGGAGUAUGGUAUACGUGGGAAAGAGGGAAUCUACCGAGUACAAACAUUAGAGAAAGACUGGGUCGUGGUGUUGCAAAUGGAAAAUGGAUGGAGUCUUCCCAAGUGGCAAUGUUCACCACUUAACGUCUUCACUUUCUGAUCAUUGCCCUCUUUUGAUUAGCACAACAAAUGCGGGUAGGUUAAAAAGAACUCCAAGAUUUAAGUUUGAGGCAUGGUGGACUGCAGAGGAAUCGACUGAAGAGGAGAUUAGGAAAUCAUGUGAGUCAUCAAAUGGAUCUCUAGUUGAAAAAUUCAAAAGUUUACAGAUCAGUCUGACAAGAUGGGCACAAUCAAUAAGGAAGGCCGGGAAAGAGUUGACGAAUAAAUUCACAAAGGAGCUUGAAAUUCUGCUGGAAAAGGACAGAGAUGAUGAUACAAUGGCACAGAUAAUAAAUGCGAGAAUCCAUUUAAAUUUGGAAGUUGAUAAAGAAGAUAUGUACUGAGAACAAAGAGCAAAAGUAAACUGGCUUCAGCUAGGGGACAGGAAUACGACAUUUUUCCACAAAUAUGCUUCAAUACGAAAACGUAUUAAUACGGUUAACAGGCUAGAUACAGAUGAUGGAAGGGAGAUUGUUGAAGAAACAGAAAUAAUUGAGACUGUUGCAAAGUACUUCCAGAAUCUUUUUCUAUCUAAUGGGGUAAGGAAUCUUUCCCACCUCUUAUCAGGUAUCAAGAAUAGCAUCUCUCCAAACAUCAACACAAUUCUACUUGCACGAUAUACGGCAGAAGAGAUCUUCAAUGCAAUAAAAGGUAUGGGACCCACUAAAGCACCAGGUUAUGAUGGCUUUCUAGCACUUUUCUUCCAGAAUUACUAGCAUAUUGUGGGUAAAUAUAUUAAAGAAUUUUGCUUGGGAGUUUUGAAUGAUGGAAAAAGCCUUGGUGAUUUCAACCUUACUGACAUAGUACUUAUCCCGAAGAUUCUCAACCCCACAAAUCUUGUCAACUUCAAGCCUAUCAGCUUAUGCAUAAUUAUUUAUAAAAUAGUAGCCAAAGUUAUUGCUUAUCGUCUUCAGGAAUUCAUUGGUGGAUGUAUUGACAAUGCUCAAAGUGCGUUUAUUCCUGGGAGGUUAAUUUCUGACAAUAUUUUGGUUGCCUAUGAAAUUAUGCAUACACUUCGACAAAAAAGAACAGGGAAAAAAAGAUUCAUGGCAGUGAAACUCGACAUGAGCAAAGCAUAUGACAGAGUUGAGUGGACAUUCCUGAAAGAAGUAAUGCGUCGAAUGGGCUUUGUAGAGGAAUGGAUAUCACUAAUUAUGAGAUGCAUUUCUACAGUCUCUUAUGUGGUAAACAUCAAUGGAAGGAGGAGUAAUGUUUUCAAACCUACUAGAGGACUCCGUCAAGGGGACCCACUUAGUCCUUUUCUUUUUCUAAUCUGUAGUGAGGGACUUUCGUCCUUACUCAGGAUAGCAACAGCAGAAGGUUUGAAAAAAGGAGUUAAGGCUAGUAGAAGGGGUCCGGCGAUCUCACAUUUAUUAUUUGCGGACGAUUGUAUCUUGUUCAGUGAAGCUUCAAAAAAUAAAAUAAUGAUUUUGAAAGACAUCUUGAAGGAAUACGAGAGGUGUCCAGGCCAAUGUGUGAAUUUUAACAAGUCCACGGUUUUUUCAGUUCCAAUAUGGUGGAAGGGGACAAAGCAGCUAUUUCAACUGAAAUGGGAAUAAGGCGUUCAACAAAUAUGGAGAAAUAUUUAGGAUUGCCUAAUAUGGUAGGAAGGAGAAAGAAGGAAUCCUUUCAGAACCUUAAGGAUAGGAUUAAAUUGAAGAUUGAGAAUUGGAGUACAAGGUUUCUAUCACAAGGGGAAAAAGAGGUUUUUAUAAAAUCUGUUCUUCAGGCUAUACCAACUUAUGCUAUGGCAUGCUUUCUUCCACCAAAAUCAUUAUGCGAGGAGUUCGAAAAUAUUUUCGCUAGAUACUGGUGGCAAAAAAGUCAGAAAUCGAAAGGGAUUCAUUGGUGCAAAUGGAAAGCUAUGUGCAGCUCUAAAGAGGAGGGCGGAAUGGGAUAUAGAGAUAUGGCUCAGUUUAAUAUUUCUUUACUUGCUAAGCAGGGUUGGAGAAUUAUCAAUAAUCAGGAUGCUCUUGUUACGCAAUUUUUUAAAGUGAAAUAUUUUCCAAAUGAUCAUUUUUUAAAUUCUCGUUAGGGAAAUUCCGGCUCUUAUGUAUGGAAAAGUAUUUAGGCAGCGAAGGCUUUACUGGCAAAGGGGUUAUACUGGAGAGUUGGUACGGGUUCUAAUAUACUCAUUAAUGAUGAUGAUUGGGUUCCGGAGGCAGUAAAUUUCAGAUUAUCAACAGUGAAUAAUUCAAUGCGUAAUCUCAAAGUUAAUGAGUUAAUCGAUAACAAUACCAGGCUUUGGAAGAAGGAGUUGAUAAAUAAUACCUUCACAGAAGAAGAUGCUGCAAGAAUUCUUCGAAUCCCUCUGGCACGAACGCCUCACGAGGAUUUCCUCAUCUUGGGAGGUGAGUUGACGGGUGAAUUCACGGUCCGAAGUGCUUAUAAACUAUUACAGAGUUCGAAUGAAGACCCUAGCGCUUAUACGUUACAACUUAUCUAUAGGAAAUUCUACAAAAAACUUUGGAGCCUAAAUCUACCAGCUAAAANNNNNNNNNNNNNNNNNNNNNNNNNNNNNNNNNNNNNNNNNNNNNNNNNNNNNNNNNNNNNNNNNNNNNNNNNNNNNNNNNNNNNNNNNNNNNNNNNNNNNNNNNNNNNNNNNNNNNNNNNNNNNNNNNNNNNNNNNNNNNNNNNNNNNNNNNNNNNNNNNNNNNNNNNNNNNNNNNNNNNNNNNNNNNNNNNNNNNNNNNNNNNNNNNNNNNNNNNNNNNNNNNNNNNNNNNNNNNNNNNNNNNNNNNNNCCUGGGUAUUUGAACAACUCAAUCCUUGUCAAAGUCGUUUAUUCUGCUGCGAUCUAUGGGCCAUAUGGGGAGAUCGAAACAGAAGAAUACACGAAGGAAAAGUUAGCAACGGCAAAGAAACUGCAAAUUUCAUCAACAAUUACAUUACUGAGUUAACUCACUUUGAAAGAAGGAAAUCGAAAAAAAUCACAGGAAAGCAAAGAUGGCAGCAUCCACAUCGUGAGUUUAUAACAAUAAAUUUUGAUGGAGCAUAUCAUGAAAGUCAGUAUUGCUCAGCCAUAGGUAUUGUGGCCAGUGAUGCCGAAGGAAGUGUUUUGUUAUCCUAUUCAGAGUUACAGAAAGACAUUACCUCUGCAUUUGCCGCUGAAGCAAUAGCUUGUUGGAGAGCAGUCUAAAUCAGAGUCGAUCGGGGAUGGCAAUCAAUCAUUUUUUAGGGAGAUUCCCUCGCAAUAAUUAAAAAAUGCAAUACCACAGGUCAAGAUCGAUCAAUGAUAGGGGUUUAUAUUCAUGAUAUCCAACAGGAAAUCAGUAAGUUUAAUAAAGUCAGAUUUCAGCACACACCAAGAUCUGCAAAUAAUCUCGCACACAUUCUUGCAACGAAAACCCUAAAGAGGAAAGAGGAGAUUUACCUUGAAAUGGAGGUCCCUGAGUAUGCAAAGAAGCAGAGAAGAUAUGACUGGUUGCGUGAACCAGACUAGAAAAUGACAGAAGAUGAGGGAAGAAAGGAAGAAAUGCUUCAAAACUAAAGAAAGUGAAACGGUUCAAAAGAAGCUUUGCCAGAGAAAUCGUCGAAAUGGAAAUGAAAUGAUGGGAAGACGAAAUGACAGAUUUCAGCAAAUUUUGAUUGGGCAUUUAGUCGGUGCUUUUAUUAUAGGUUCCAGAACUCUCUUUUUUCAUAUCUCUCUUUUUAAUAUCUUGAUUUUUUCAACUUUGGCCAUCUGUUUUGGGCCGGGUUUUUCUAGGAUAAUAGGUUUAUAAGUUUUGUCAUACUGUUUUCUAUUAAUAAAGCCCAUUCUUAAUUUUUUUCAAAAAAAAAACUUUUUACAAUUCCUAAUAACUUUUAUAAAUUUUUAGAGCUUUUAUAUUUUCUUUUACAAUUUUAAAAUAUUCUAACAUAUUUUUAAAAAUAUUAAGAACAUGUAACGUUAGGGAUUGAACUGGAAAUGUCUAAUAACAUUAGAGAUUGAGAUGAGUCAAAAAAAACCUUUAACUAUCAAUUGGAAAAAAGGUACGUACGGUAGGAGUUAAGGUAUGCAUUAAGCCAUUACACUUUAAUUAAAUUUGAAGUUGAAUCAAGUCAAAUAUUUGAAUGAGAGAUAAAACUCUCUCAAUGUUGUUUUCUUCUUUUACAAAACUUGAAUCCAAAAUCUAAAAUAAAAUACGUUAAACUUUUUUAACUACAAUUGUUUUUAUAUUUUUUAUGUCCAUUUUAAUUCAAUGUCGUAUCUAAAAUUUAAAUUUGCAUCUCUUCCUAAAAGUAUAAUAUACCUUAGACCGUACCCAACACAUAUUAUAAAUUCAUUUUUUAACUACUUAAUUACAGGGGAGGAGGGACUUGACAUCAUUGGGAUAAUCAUGGGUCGUUAGUAAUGUUUUCCUUUGCUGAAUUUAUGUAGAUUUGGAAGCUCUUAAAAUGGGCAAAUUAGAGUUGUAGUGGCAUAUGAUUUUUCCCUUAAUUAAUUUUCAUAUACACUGCCAAAAACUAGGUAGGCAGUGGCAUAAUCUCUUGCAACUCCGUCAUCUCGUUUCCAUGUUGAUUUGAUCUUUCCGUUUCCGUCCAUGUGGGAAAUGAAAAAGUCGUUUUGCAUGUCACUUGUCUCGACACCUUUCCAUACCAAAUGGCUGUUUUCAAACUUUAACUCACCUCCUUAGAAAACUGGUUGUUAAGAAAUGGAUGAAAACCAAAAACAUUACAUAAAGGAAGGGGAGAACUGAAGAACACAUAUACAUAGAACCAAAAACAAAAAGAUCACAUGGGUUCUGAAAAGCAAGGGUUUAUAUGGUUAUCAGGGCUUUUGUUUCUGAAUAUCUUUGUCUUAUCCACAGCCGAUGUCCACUAUUACGAGUUUUCUGUAAGUUCCUUGCAUGUUCCCCCUUUUCUGUUUGUGUUAAUAAGAGAGAGCAGUGCUGAAUUUUCAUUUUGGGUUUUGUUUAAAUUAGUUGCAAGAAUCCCCGUUCACAAAGCUGUGUAGCACGAAGAUCAUCUUGACCCUCAAUGGCAGCUUUCCAGGGCCUGAGAUUCGGGUUCGCAGAGGGGACACAGUUUUUGUCAACGUCCACAAUCAAGGAAACCAUGCUGUAUCCCUCAAGUGGUAAUAUAUACAUACAUGUAUAUGCUUACACACCUUGUUUAUGAUGAAACAAUUAGUCAUAUAUAUAUAGCUAUGUUUGUGGGUUUUUAGGGAGGGAGUUAAGGGUUCAAUUGAUGGUUCGAAUGAGUUGAUUCAGCCAGGGAGAAACUUCACUUACAAGAUAGAGUUAAAGGAUGAAAUAGGAACUCUGAGGUGGCACGCUACCAGUGCUUGGGCUGCUGCAACCGUCCAUGGUGCCUUUGUCAUUUUGCCAGUAGCCACUGAAGACUAUCCUUUCCCUGCACCUACUUCUGAUCAAACAAUUAUACUUGGUACAUCUGAUUAACAUGUUUGAUUCAUAUAUUUUGCAAAUUAAUUGCUUAUAUGAAUGUUUUGGCAUAAUAUUCCGUUAGGGGAAUGGUUCAGGGAAGAGUUAACGGAAGCUAAUCAAACCAUAACUCCUGGCUCAGCAGAUGCUUACACUAUCAAUGGCCACCCCGGAGAAACAUAUGGAUGCAGCAACGGUACGUAUCCGCUAUUGUUUAGACUUUUUCUUUUCCUGGUAUCUGAUAUCUGGUAAUGACUUAGGCCUCACUGUUUCCAAGUUAAGUCAGGUCGGAUAUUCAUAAGACUAAAAUCCGAGAUGUUGGACCCGUCAAAUCUUGUUUUUUUUUUUUUUAUAACUCUAUUUUAUACUUUUAAUACGUAAGUUUGCAUCACAUGAAUUAAGCAUCCUCUUCCCUAGGCCAUACAGCAUGAAAUGAAAGCUGAUAAUAGAUUAAUUUUUAUGCAGAAACCUUUACUAUGAAUGCUAAUAAUCCAACAAUUUUGAUGUUGUAGAUACAACUUUUGAGAUGCAAGUAGAUUACGAGGGCCUUUACCUUGUUGGCGUAAUAAAUGCUGUUGCCAAUGAAACAAUGGUGUUUGACAUCGAAAACCACAGAUUGACCAUUGUCGGACAAAAUGGGACCUAUACCAAUCGUUCCUUUACAAAUUCUUUAACCCUAGCCCCAGGCCAAGUUAUUGACGUCUUGUUGCUUCCAAACCAAAAUGUUGGCCAUUAUUACAUCACUGCUCGAUCUUCCUCCGGCACACAUAUUACCAAUGGAAUUCUGCGAUAUACCACCACUACCACUAGUUUUUAAUAUGGGUAAAUAGUUUCCGUUGCUAAGAAAUAAUAAUAAGGUUAAUGUUGAAAUAAGAGAUUAAAUAUAAUGUGUGUAUGUUGGUUUAUAAUUUGUUGUGAUCGUUGUUUGAACGAUGUGUUUUGAAUGUUGUAAUGGGAAGAUGUUCUUUAACUAAAAUGUACAAUAUUUAUUCAUUAUUGUAAGACCCGAUCAGAGAUUCAACCAAUUGGAUCUUUGGUUCCAAUUCAAUCACUUCAAAAAGUAAAUUAAAAAUAUUUACAAUUGCAAAAGAAUAAUUUAAAAUUUUUAAGAAUUAUGGAAUAAUAUUUUUCUUUAAAAAACCAAACAUAAAAUUGAAAAAAAAAAUCAAUUAUUGUUAAAAAGAAUAAAAAAAAUUCUACAUUUUGAUUUAUUUGAAAUAGAUAUAUUUUUUUAAUUAUAUUUCGAUUGAAUAGUUUUCAAUUCAAUCACUUCUUAUAACAUCGUAUUUAUUUAAGGCUAAAAUUAAGUGACUGUAAAUAGGGUUAGAAGUUGAAUAUUGCAUAAAUUUCAUACCAACAACAAAUAAUAUUGAAAAAGUUUAAAUGAUUUCAUUUUUAGUAACGUGAUAUUAAUAUAUGCAAUAAUAAUAAAUUAUAUUAAAACCUUUUAUCAUCAGCAUAAUAAAAUGCUUAUUUCAAGUUUCCAAACAUGAGAAAGAAAGAGACUGAAGCAUUCGGGGAAAAAAAUAGAAGCAUCGAAAUUAGGAUUGUGGACAAUGGGGCAUCUAAUCAGGCAGUGACGACUGUACAAUAAGAAUUGGGUUUGAUUUAGUUUCUAUAUUUAUAAAUUUAUAAAUGGAUUAGUUUUAUGUUUGUAUUAUGUUAAAAAGAAGUUUAAUCUUUGUAUUAAUAAAAAGAUUCAUACAAAGUUAAUAUUAUUUUGUAAAGGUGUACUUAUUUUUUUUUUACCUUCCAAAUUAAUAAAAAAAAUUUAUUAAAGUAAUCUUAGUCAUUCAUUUAAUUUUUCGUUUCAUUUAGCCUUUGAACUUGUAAUUUUGUCAAAUCAACUCAAAUUUGAUGGAAAAGUUAAUAUUUUUUAACUUUACUGAUAUGACCUAUGUUAAACUGAACGUCGAUAAUUGCAAUAUAGAAUGAUCGCAAAGCAAUAAGAAAGAAAAUUAAAACACAUAGAUUUUACCUAAAAAAACCACGGGUAGAGGAGAAGAAAAUUCACUAAUGUUGAAAAUAGAAUGAUACAAGAGGAGUUACGAUUACAUUGACCCUGACAACAAGAUGGGAGUGCGAUGUGCAGCAAGCUGGAGAGGGAGGCAAAGGGUUCUUAACUUUCCCAACAAGAUCUAGGAAGACAAUGUGGCACUCCUAGGUUGUUUUCUAGUCGGCUUUCAUGUAUCUCUCACUCGUGGGAGUACGAAAUUUUGUCUUCAUGCAAAAGGUGCCCACCACCAUCUUCAUUAUCCUCAUGAUUGGCCUCCUGAAAAUGGCCCUGUAAGUUAUCGGGAGGUCAACCGCUAGAAAAUCCACCAUUUCUAUGGUGGUGUGCUCACCAUUUCCCAUUACCAAUGGGAGGAAAAAUGGACCCCUUAACCGCAAUGGGCUGGUUGGCAAAACUGUACACCGGGCUUGCAAGUUUGAGUUGGGCAUCCUUGAGCCUCAUUUGAUGAAAAGCCUUGGUCAUCAGAAUAUCCACAGAGCAACCUGUGGUCACCCCACAAGCUUAGUACUAUUGAAGGGUCACCCUUCCUCUUCAUGGUCCCUAGAGGUAUUUAUAAGCAGAGGUUCCGUGCAGGGUUGUGUUAACAUGUUAGACUUUCCAUCUAGCCAUCAUUAGGGAGCUCGUGGGAGGGAUGUCUUCAAUGAGACAAGGAUGUCUAUGACAAGAAAGAUCUUGUCAUUCAUUCUAAAGUUAACGGGAUAAAGUAAUUGAGCCCACGUGCUAUUUGGUAACCAAACAACUUCAUGUUUCCAAUGAAGAUAAAAUCAUUCGUUGUUCAGAUAGUCCUCCAAGGAGGGUGAGCUCACAGAUGACCGCUUGACUUGUUGGUGGUAGGCUUACAUGUAUAAGCAUCUUCUAAGCUUGUCACAUGUAUUGUCACGGAUGAGGGGUAUAACAAUCGUGAUAUUAGUAUUGGAAAAAAUACUGUUCAAAAAUAAUUUUCUUGCACAGCGAAAAAUACAAAUUUUGAAAAAAAAGACCAAGUUUGUGAUAUUUAUAACAAUAAACCCAAAAAUCCGUACCUAUGUUUUCGGAUGGGCGGAUCCUUUUUUAUUCUCAGCUUUCAACCAAACGAUCUUCUCAGUUAUUCUUGUAUCACGAACUGCUUCGAGUGUGGGCUCGAACAAAUGGUAUGAACAUAAAAAUACUAAAAACCAUAUUUAACAGUGCACAAAGACGAGAGAACCAGAGAGGGGGAAUGGCUCUAGAGGAAGAUCUCAAAACAAACAAAUCAAACUAUGAACAUGAAAACCUAAACCCAAACGAUAAUGGAAGAUUACGGUCCUAGAAAGAAAAUGAAAAGUUUGGUUUUGAUUACCGAAUGGAAACAAAUGGUUUUAGUUACGAUUUGGGUUGGUUUCUUUUUGGUAAAAAAAAAACUAUUAAUUACGAUAAUAAAUUUAAUUAAAAAUCAUUAUAAAUUACUCUUCCUUAUAACAGACCCAAAACCCAACCAGCCCUAAACCCCCAAAUCAGACCCAAUCAAACUCAAUUUGCCCUUUUUUAAUUAAGUCAUAUAAUAGAAAUUAAAUUUUAUCCAUUAAUUCAAUUACUUACAUAAAUAAACCUGGAUCAUUAUAAAUUACUCUUCCUUUAUAAAUUACACAAAAAUUAAAAUGAAAGUAUAGCAACUGUAUGCAGCAGCAGUAAUUCCAGAGGCUGAUAACAGAAAUUCAGAAGGAAAAAAACACAUAAAUACAACAGGAGGAAAAGGCACCAAGAAUACAAAUUGGUAGCUGAAACUUUAAAUUGAUUUUACAUUAUCAAUCUUCCAAUAACCUCGGGUCUUUACAUUCUCACUCGACCAUACAAAAUUAUGAACAUAAGAUGAAUGCUAGUUGAAACUAUCCCCACAAAUUUGCUAAAAAUUGCAUUAUAAUGGGGUUGGGUAUAUAUAUAUACACAGCAUUUUUCAACUGGCUAUAAAAAAUGAGGGCUAAUUCAAAUAAAAAAUGUGAAACAAGGAAUACGAGAACUAGGCAGAAAUACCAUUUAGGGACUUGGGUUGAGACCAGGCAUCAUUUGGAGUGCCACACAGUUGGCAAGGGUCAGAGGAUCCCUGUGAACACCAGUGAUCAGGGACACUCAAAAAGUAAGUUGACAUGAACUUUCUGAGUCUUUUCUUAUAUUCCUUGGGAGAAAUCACAGUUGGCAACAAAUUCUUAGGAACAACCAAUGAAGACUUAACCCAUGUCUCCAG